rnacentral:rRNA from 1 species
GAUGAACGCUGGCGGCGUGCCUAAUACAUGCAAGUCGAGCGAACAGACGAGGAGCUUGCUCCUCUGACGUUAGCGGCGGACGGGUGAGGAACACGUGGAUAACCUACCUAUAAGACUGGGAUAACUUCGGGAAACCGGAGCUAAUACCGGAUAAUAUAUUGAACCGCAUGGUUCAAUAGUGAAAGACGGUUUUGCUUUCACUUAUAGAUGGAUCCGCGCCGCAUUAGCUAGUUGGUAAGGUAACGGCUUACCAAGGCAACGAUGCGUAGCCGACCUGAGAGGGGGAUCGGCCACACUGGAACUGAGACACGGUACAGACUCCUACGGGAGGCAGCAGUAGGGAAUAUUCCGCAAUGGGCGAAAGCUUGACGGAGCAACGCCGCGUGAGUGAUGAAGGUCUUCGGAUCGUAAAACUCUGUUAUUAGGGAAGAACAAAUGUGUAAGUAACUAUGCACGUCUUGACGGUACCUAAUCAGAAAGCCACGGCUAACUACGUG